UGUGCGUGCCUGACCUGUCUGACAUGCUGCUGUGGGCGCUUGGCUGAGGGUGGUAGUUAGCUACUCAGCUAACCCAAAGUGACACGUGCCUGGCAGGACGUUCAGUCUCUGCAAA
rnacentral:lncRNA from 1 species